rnacentral:lncRNA from 1 species
AAUUUGCCCUCUUCCCAUGAUUCCUCUCUCAUCUCUCACUUCACUUGACGCCUUCUCCAAUCAGCCCGUACGACGACGUCCUCCGUACGGAAACAUCCUCGUCCUAUGAUCUAGUGAACAUGUACGUAAUCUUCCUCAAAACUUGAUUGGAAACCUUUUUUUCCCUCAUAUUUAGGGCAUCUUGUUCUUGCUUUUACAUUUUCUUGAUUUUGCUGGUUUUGUUAGAUACUAAAAUCAGAAUUAGAAAAGGGUUUCGUCCAACUUCAAUAUCAUUUUCUUGUAUCUUGCGAUGAACUGUGAGUGCCACAUCAAAUACAACACAAGUUCGUCUGAAAUUUAAAAGAAUAGAACCAACAUAUAGAGAAAAAUUACUGAGAUUUGUGUGUGAAAAAUUACUAAGUCCGUCUGAUUUUUUCUGAGAUUUGUAUUUGAGACACUGAAGUGUAUAGAAAAUAUUGAAUUGGCUUUUAAUUUUACUAUACUUUGUGAUAAUUUUAGAAUGUCCCUCAAAUCAGAAAAAAUGGGGAAAAACUGUAGGACAGUCACUCAGUUGAAGCACUACAGUUGCAAAAGGGCUUAGAAGUGUCCAAAUUUUCACUGUUAUUCAAAAUGCAGUUCAUAAAAUUUUUGAAAUAUCUCCAUAACAGGAAAAGUAGUAUGUGGUCAAGAUUUUUUUGCCCUUGAGACUGAUGCUUGCUCACCUUAGAAUUACCUAUGAAAUAUCUCCUUCAAAAUUGAGGUUUGGGUGAGGAUUUGAGGGUAGGGGUAUCUAGUACAAUUUAUGAAAUUACAGGUCCCAACUUAUAAUUUUAGAUCGAGAGUUAGUUUGCAAAUGGUGCUGAUGAAGUGGUGCGGCUUUUGUGUGGUACCAAGGGUGGUGGAGUAGGGUAGGACGAAGAGCAUUUGUGACUAGUAAGAUGUUAACAUAAUUAUAAACAUAAUUAUAUGGUAUUGUGAUCUUGGCUUGUUAUUGUAAUCGUGGCCUAUUAAAUGCAUUACUUGAUAUUUGAAGCAUUUUCAUCAGUUUCUUAUUUUUUUAAAGUGUAUCUUGGAACCUUUGUAAUUAUAUGUAUUUUUCCCUUCAUUGUAGGUUGAAAUUUCUAAACCCGAUUGUAAUAUUUGAAACAAGGAAGUAAUUCACAAAUAUAUUUACGAAGUUUAUUUUAUACUUAUUUUUAAUUUUUUUUCUCAAAAUAUUAUUUUUCUUAUGGGUUAAUUUCACAAACCGUCACUAAACUUCCUUGAAAAUUACAAAACGGUCACUAAAUAUUAAAACUUACAGAAACGGUCAUUGAACUUUAGAGCGCUUUCAAAAACGGUUACUAAAGUUUACAAACUUGCAGAAAUGGUCAUCCAAAAUUUUCAAAUUUUUUGGCGAGGUUUGAGGCAAAUUUCCUACAACCUCCGACCACCAAGACCGUCGAAUUUGGAUACCGUUGGAAAGCCCACAUGUCUUCUUCAAUUACCACCCAAAAUCUCUCCAUAACUCCAAAGGAUUGGACCAAAAUAAGCGCACAAAGUAUGCUCCCCGAAGUCGAAAAAUCAACCCAGAUUUUUCAGAUUUUUGGGCGAGAUUUGCAGUCAUUUUUCGGUAACUUUCGACCACCAAGAUCGUCGAAUUUGGAUACCAUUGAAAAGUCCAUAAUAUCCUCUUCCAUAAUAUCCUCUUCAAUUACCACCCAAAAUCUCCCCAUAACCCCAAAUGAUUCGUUAGGAAAAAGCCCACAAAGUCAGUUCCUCAAAAUCUGAAAAAAUUAAAGAGAACAUUGUGGGCUUUCCAAUGAUAUCCAAAUUAGACGGUCUUGGUGGUUGGAAGUUGCCGGAAAAUUGCGCAAAUCUCACCCAAAAAUCUAAAAAAUCUAGCUUAAUUUUUCAAUUGCGGGAGCUCAUUUUGUGAGCUUAUUCUGACCGAAUCCUUUGGAGUUAUGGGGAGAUUUUGGAUGGUAAUUGAAGAGGACAUUGUGGAUUUUCUAAUAGUAUCCAAAUUCAACGGUCUUGGUGGUCGGAGGUUUCCGUAAAUCUCAUCCAAAAAUAUGAAAAAUCUGAGCAAAUUUUUCAGAUUUUGGGGAGCUGAAUUUGUGGGCUUAUUCCGGUUGAAUCUUAUGGAGUCAUAGGGAGAUUUUGGAUGAUAAUUGAAGAGGACAUUGUGAACUUUUCAACGAUAUCCAAAUCUGGUAGUCUCGGUGGUCGAAAGCUGUCGCAAAAUUAUCGCAAAAUUCAUCCAAAAAUCUGAAAAAUUUGGGUAGAUUUCAGGGAACUGAAUUUGUGGACUUAUUCCGGUCGAAUCCUUUGGAGUUAUGAGGAGAUUUUGGAUGAUAAUUGAAGAGGACAUUGUGUGCUUUUAAACGAUAUACAAAUUCAACGAUCUUGGUGGUUGGAAGUUGUCAAAAAUUUGCUGCAAAUGUUGUCUAAGAAUCUGAAAAUUUUGGGUGGUCGUUUCUGUAAGUUUAUAAACUUCAGUGACCGUUUCUAAAAGCGCUCUAAACUUUAGUGACUGUUUCUGCUAGUUUUUAAACUUCAGUGACCGUUUUGUAUUUUUCAGGUAAGUUCAGUGAACGUUUGUGAAAUUAAUCCUUUUUCUUAUUAAUUUUUUAUUUUUUCUUAUGAAUUUUGUAAAAAUGUAAUGCAAUUUCUAAAAUUAUAUUAUACAAAUUUCACCAUUCGAUUCCACAAUAUGACAUUGUCAUCACUUGUAAAAUAAUAUGUUAAACAUUUUGCUGUCUAUUUUUACUGUUACUGUAGCUAUCGAUACCAUCAUGAUUGAUAACAUUCAAUUUUAUCCCACUAUCGCAACCACCAAAACAAUUGCCCUCCAUCAUCAUCGUCACUGCCACCAUCAACAAUAAUUCCUGAACUUUAGUACAACUCCAUAGAAGCCUCACUAAAAAACUAGCAAUAUACCGUCCAUUCCUUUUUUAGUUAGUAGGCAUCUCAAUUUAUUCACUCCAAGAUUUUGGCUAGGUUUGAUGAUGGUGCUGAUGAAGGUGAUGGUGGUGUUUUGUGAUGGGUGAUGAUGGUGUUUGGCAGUGCGUGGUGGUUAGGUGGUGAGCUGCCAUUAUUCGUGUAUUUGUACAUGAAUAAAUGUGUAUUUGUUUGUGUUAGAUUGUGUUUGUAUGUUAAAUUAUGUGUUUUUGAGUUUGUGGAGAAUGAAAACCAGUAUUUACCAUGUAGAGAAUUAGAAAGGACUGAAAAUAAGCUCAAAUUUUGGAAAAAAAAAAAAAGAAAAAAAAAGAAAGAAAGAAAAAGAGGGGACCGAGCUAGAUUAUAAGAAUUCUAUAUCAUAAUAACAAUCUUAUAAAGCCCUAUUAGGUGGGGCUUAAAAUUUUAUUUCUAGUAGAUUUUGAUAAAAGUUGAUAAAAAGUAUAGUUGAAGGGUUGUAUGAUUCAUAAAAUAUGUAGUUAAAAUUUAAAGUUUAAUCAUUACCAAACAAAGGGAAAAUAGUUAUGUUAUAAUAAUUGGAUCGGACCAGUCGGUUGAAUCGAGAAAAUUGCGAAUUGACCUCUAUUUCAUUUUGCUAUUCAUACAUUUAGGUUUUCUUUAAGUGCUGAAUUUUUUUCCACAAAAGUUCUGAGUGGAAAAUUACAUCCCUACUUACUUUUUUAAUCAAUAUUCUAAAAUCAUAUUAACGGUUUCAUUGUUCAAAAAUUAUAUAUUUUAAAUAUUCAAUAUUAUAAUAUAAAUUUUAUCCAACCCUCUCCAUCUCGCUCGCUUGUCCCUCUCUCUUCCUCUUUCCUUCAUCAAUUCAAACUUCCGCAGUUAGCGAUGGAGCUGCUCCGACUGACACCACACCACAAGCGUUCGUCAUCGCCGAACAAGUGACUGGUGGUGCUAGUGCACUUAUCAUUGCAGAUCUGUAGGUGGCGCUGUCAAUCUUCCCAUUCUUCCUGUUUUUUUUUUUUUUUUUAAAAAAAUUGAGUGGAGCGUGGUUUGCAAUUUGGGGGAGGAGGGUGGUGUGGUGGUGGCACGGUGUUGUAGGUGUGGUGGUGGUGACAGUUCAGUGGUGUGGUUUUCAAUUAUUUGAAUCCAAUUUUGUUUGGUGGCUGUGUAAUUAGUGCUCUACACUCAUGAUAUUUAUGUUACUUAAUUUAUUAUUUUGCUACCCUCGAAGCAUUUUAAAGUGUGUUUUAAUGUUGUGUUAUAUGUUGAUGAAAUUGAAAGAAAAAAACAAACGUUGAAAAAAUUGGAGAAAUGGGCCAAAUUGUAUGAGAUCCAAAGUUUGAGGACUAAAAUGUAAAUAAUCAAAAGUUGUUUCGAACCUUGCAAUGAAGAUCCGAGAGUGCUAGGAGCCAAUUGGAUGAAGAAAGACAUCAAAGGGGUCAAAUUGAGUCUAAGUAUGAUUACAUAUCAACUUCUAACCGAAAAAGUUAUGCUCCGAAUUUUCAGACUCAAAUGUAGACUUAUUUUUGACAUAGCAAACGAUCAAAUUGGAGAAUGAUGUCUAAAUUAAAGUUGUAGUCCUUUGAGUCAGCCUUUCAAUACAUCUUAAAUCACCUCAAUCAAAUAUCGAGAGAAAAAGCUAUGCUAAAAACAUUGAAGGACGUGCAGUCUAUCUUUUCGGUUGAACCGGGCGUGUUAUUGAAAAUAUGCAGUAAAGGCAGCGCCCAUCUUGGGUGCGGAGGCAGUGGCUAUGAGGGAAAAAGGAUUUUUAUAUUUUUGGACUCUUCUCUUUGUUCAAUUCUACAUAAUUUGUCCAAGAACUUAAAAAUACUAUAAAUAUCAUUCAAAAGACCUAUUUUCUGGAAGAAUUGAAAGGGGCAAGAUUGAAGAAUUCAACCACACAAUUUGAAGGAGGCAAAAAUUGAAGACAUCAAAGGGAGGCAAGAACAACAUCAAUGAAGAAGAUUGAAAAUCUACCCAAAAGGUUAGUUUUUUUUUUUUUUUUAUCAUUUUCUUUAUGUUGUUUAUGAAUUAAAUAAUUUAUCUACGGUUAAUGUAACUGAACAUGAUUCUAUGGUUUGAUGAUUUUAUAAUUAUUGCUUUUGAUUAUGCAUAUUUAAUUAUGUCAUGAUUUUAAUACUUUCAAUUACCCGAUCAAUAAUUGAAUGAAUAGAUGCUAGUCAAUUUCGACACUCGAAAGACGGGAAUUUAACCGCGAUUAUAAGAUUGACACAAUAUAGAUUUUAUGGAUUUCGAGAAAACUAUAAAAUCAUGAAACUUACUCCAUAGAAGAAUCGAAACUUUUAUAAAUUCUUGAUCUACAAUUCGAAAUAGAGAUAUUGGAAUUGGAAUUUAGGAUUAAUUUCUAGUCUGCACUCGAGAGAGGGGAGAGAAAUGUAUUAGAAUUCUUGUUUUUAAAUAUGAGAAAAUUAGCUAGAAUAAUUAGAAAUCAUUGAAUCAUAAUCGAAAGUUAGGUGAAAUCAAUUCCCUAGGAUAUCUCAUUUUGAUAAUUUGCAUUCUUCAAUUUUGUCACAACCAAUUAUGUUAGAUUAGUUUAAAACAUUCAUUCAUUCAAUUAUCCAUUCAUCUGAACAAAGUAGAAAUUGCAUAAUUAUAGUACUUAGAGAGAAUUAAAUUAUAACCCAUAUGGGUUUGACACUCUUACUUCAAUACUAUAUUACAAAAAAAAAAAAAAAAAAAAUUAACACCGUACACUUAUAGUAUAAAUCACGUUGCAUAAAACGCGUGACAAGUUUUUGGCGUCGUUGUUAGGGAUUGUUUAUUUUAUUUUGACUAAUAUUAUUACCAAGUAAUUUCUAUUUUAAUUUAUAUUUCUUUUCUUUUAAUUGCUUUGUGGCACUUGUGUCAGGUGUAUGCGAAGAUCGAGGAGUGUUGGACUACUACCUGUUGAUCCUGAACCAGGACAAACUUUCAAAUUUAUAAGGAAUAUUCAGAGACAUUACCUUGAAGCAAUGGCCGAACAAAAUCCACCAUUAGCAAACCAGAACAAUCAUAAUGUUCAACAAAGGGCUAUAAGAGACUACAUCAGACCAAUUAUAGUUCCAGUAUUGCACAUCCAACAAUAGCUGCAAUUAAUUUCAAACUGAAGCCAGAGCUAAUUCAUAUUGUACAAUAAAAUUAGUUGGGGCAGCUCCAAAAAAAGACCCAAAUACUCAUCUGGGUUCUUUUCUGGAUAUGUGAUACGGUGAAAAAUGAAUGGUGUUACUGAAGAUACAAUCUGAUUCUGUCUAUUUUCCUUCUCCCUAAGAGAUAGCAUAUUUCCAAUCAUUGUCAAAUUGAUCCAUCACAACUUGGGAGGAGUUAGCACAGAAAUUUCCUGCAAAAUUCUUUACACCUUCGAAGGUAGUGCAAUUGCUAGGUGAAAUUGGGUAGUUUCGACGGUCAGACUUCAAACCGUUCUAUGAGGCAUGGGAAAGAUAUAAAUAUUUAUUCUAUGAGGCAUGGUUACCCAAAUUGGUUGCAGACACAAGCCUUCUACAACGGUUUGAAUGGUCAGACACGAAUAGUGGUAGACUUUGCAUCAAGUGGCACAUUGAUGAGCAAGACUCCAGAUGAGGCCUACGUAUUAUUGGAUGAGAUAGCUACUAACAGUUAUCAAUGGCCAAGUAAGCGUUCAAGUGUAAAGAAAGUUGCUGGCCUUUAUAAGGUGGAUCUCAUUACCGUCUUUGUAGCUCAAAUGUCAUCUCUCAUUAAUCAAAUAGUUGCAUUGACAUUAAGAAAUUAGAUUCCAUCAUGGCUGCCUCUACUUCUAUUAUGCAUCUAAGUCAGAGAAUGAGCAAGUCCAAUAUGUGAAUGGCAAAAAUUUCAAUCAAAGAGGAAACUACUCAGUAAACUAGUACCAUCCGGGACUGCGAAACCAUGAAAACCUCUUUUAUGGCAACAAUGCUAAUGUGUUGCAGCCCCCACCAGGAUACAAUACUCAGCUAUCUGAAGGGAUGCCAUCACUAGAGGAUAUAUUAUGAACCUUAAUUUUAGAGACCAGGUUGAAGUUCAACAAAGAUGAGUCAAGACUUGACAACAUUGAGACUAACAUGACCAACUAGAGGACCAUAGUGAAGAACUUAGAGGUACAGCUUGGUUAGAUAGCAAUUGCGAUACAGUCUCAACAGAGAGGAAAAUUUCCCAGUGAUACAGAGGUUAACCCAAGGGAGCACUGCAAUGCUAUCCUAAGGAAUGGUAAAGAAGUUCAAGAAAGCAAGGCUAAAGAGAUUGUGGUGCCUAAACCGGAUCCCAUACUUAUGGAGGAAAAGCUAGUUGAAGAGCAGAAGACUGAGACAGAGAUAGCAAAAGAAGCACAUAAACCUUAUUGAAUCUCAUUCCCAAAUAAUCCACCCAUCUUGAAGACACUACUACCAUUCCUGUAGAGGUUUAUGAAGAAAAAAUUGAUGAGCAAUUCACAAAAUUCUUGGAGGUUUUCAAGAAAAUCCACAUCAACAUCCCCUUCGCAGAUGCCUUGGCCCAAAUGCCCAACUAUGCCAAGUUCUUAAAGAAAGUGAUGUCAAAGAAGAAGAAGCUAGAUGAGUUAGAGACAAUUAAGAUGACAGAAGAGUAUAGUACCAUUCUCCAGAAGAAACUCCCUCCGAAAUUGAAAAAUCCAGAAAGCUUUAACAUUCUUUGCAAAAUUGGUGGUAUCAUAUUUGAUAGAGCACUGUGUGACCUUGAAGCUAGCAUGAAUUUGAUGCCCCUAUCAGUGUUCAAGAAGCUAAGUCUUGGAUAAAUAAAACCCACAAUCCUCACCUUACAACUAGCAAAUCGAUCAAUUACAUACCCUAAGGGCAUUACUGAAGAUGUAUUCGUAAAGGUUGAUAAGUUCAUCUUUUCGGUGGACUUUGUAAUGUUGGACAUGAAGGAGGAUGAGAAAGUACCAUUGAUUCUUUGUCUACCUUUCCUAGCACUGGAAGAACAUUGAUUGAUGUCUAGGAAGGAAAGUUUACAUUGCGAGUUAAUGAAGAGCAAGUAACUUUCACCAUCCACCAAGCUAAGAAGUUUCAAGAAAAAGUUAACACUUGCAAUAUGAUCCAAUCAGCUGAAGCAGUUACAGGUAAUAGAGGAAAAGAUAAAAAAUUUUAUGGUCCGCUAGUGCAGAACAUGGCAACCAGUUACUCAGCAAGGGAUGCAUCUACUGAAGGUAAAUACUCAAGAACCAAGAAGAUGGUAGAUUUCAUCUUAGCUCAAGAGGCUAAUUCACUGACAAAAAGGAAAGCUAUGUGGAUAGGCCUCUGAAACCCCUAAACAUUGCCAAACCAAAAGAGGUUUUGAAGGCUACACCUGGUUAAAACGGCCUAAUUUUGUUGGCCAUGCUACAGUGAAGGAGAAUACAGAGUCGAGAGUGAAGUCUAGAAACAAGAGAGAUGUGCCACCUGAAGAUCCAACAUAGACACCUCGGUUAUGUCAAGCUAAUGACAUUAAAGAAACACUUUUUAGGAGGCAAACCAAUCGUUUGUUUUUUUAUUUUUUUUAAUUAUACGCUAGUUUAUUGUAUUUUAGAGUUUAUUUCGGUAUUCAUCAGCCAUAUCCUAACUCCUCUUAGGUAUUUGAGUAAUCAAAUUGGUUAUUAGAUGUUUGAGUUAAGUACCACUUGUUCUAUUUGUUUAAUAUCUAAACUUUGACUUUUCAGGAACAUGACGUCGCGAAACACUUAAACCAAUAUUGACAAGGAAAAAAAAAAGAUAAAUAUCAAGUUUGGGGAAAAAGUUAGAAGAUCCGUUCAUCAGCAUCAAUAUCAUAACACCGUACUGUCAUGGGCAAUUUAGACAAUUCAGGGAAGUUCUUCUCCUUCUCUUUUAAUUUCAUAUUGGGGACAAUGUUUAGUCUAAGUGUGAGAGAGUGUAUUAUAAAUUGUCUAAUUGCAUAAUUUAUUUAUUUUUUAUUUUGUGUGAUUUGUGUACAACUAAAAAAUUGUGUUUUGCAUACUUGUGUGAGUUAGAUACUUUGCCGACAAUGAUGUAUAUUAUUGAGAACAUGCAUUGAUUUCUAAAUUGUGGAUAAGUUGUGUGUUUGAGUUAAAUUUUUGCUUAUUCGUAUGAAAUGAAAAAUAUUCUUGCACGUGAGUUGAUUGUGGCGUUGUACACGAAUAGAUUGAUUCAUGUUUAUAGGUUGGAUUAGAGAAUUUAGAUGUUAAAUCCAAACAACCAUUAAUUAUUAUUAUACCCUUAAACCAAACCUAGGAUGUUUGGAUGAUUGCACUGUUGCAGGAAAACUUGGAGAUAAAUGUUGAUUCCAUGUGUGCUAAUUUUUUGUGUGGACUGUCGGAGACUAAUUAGAUAAAAAUUGGGUGAAAACCUUAGGCUAGAGGUCAAUUUUCGAGAAUAGGUGUUUAAUAAGGGGAAUUAUACUAAUCACUACAAAGAAAAAAGAUCCCAAUGAGGACAACUUUAAUAAUCUUAUUAUGAAUCGUCUCUUCAUAGCCUUUAUAACUCGAAUGAUUAAGCCUGCAAGGGUUUAAAAUGUGAUGCCCUAAAAUCAUCUGAUUUGAAAGUAAUCGACCUAAAACUCGCUACACGAGUAAUUUAGAAAGCUUAAUGGAGAGACGUCCUCACAAAGGGUAAUUGAAAGAAUAAAAUUAUAUCUGAAAAAAUGGACAUCACAUGUCUUGUGUUUUAGAGGAUUAGACCUUCUGAUAAGGGGUUAGUAACUUGGUUGAUUCUUGGAGGUUGAAGCAGUGAAAAAUAAGGAGAACCCUCAUUUAUUAAUAUGUUGAACUACAAUUAGUAAAAUUUAACCAAAUUUGAGGGGUGGAAGAAACUAGUAUUGAAAAUUCACCUUAGAUUACAUCAUUGGAAAGAGAAAAGAAAACAAGUUUGGGGUGUGUAAAUUCCACAAGCGAAGUAAGGAAAUAUUAAACUUUUAAGGUCGAGAAUUGAAUCAACUUAUUAUUGUAUAGCGUUGCACUUAACUCUCCACCCACACACAUGCACACACCCGUUUUGAAUUGAAUAGGCGAGAAUUUAGCUUGUGUAUUAUAACUUUGAAGUGAUCCAUGACAUUGAUGUUAUGUUUUUAAUCUUGAGUUAUAAAGGAAAGAUAUAUAGCGAAAUCUGUUCUUACAUGAUUUUGUCGAUUUUAAUUGAGUUUGUGUAUUUGUUCUUUAUUUUCUUUAGUUUGGUGUUCGCUCGAGGACAAGUAAAAUAUUAAGUUUGUGGGUAUUUGAUGAGUACUCUACACUCAUGAUAUUUAUACUACUUAAUUCAUUAUCUUGCUAUCCUUGAAGUUAUACUAAAAACACUGAAGGAUGCGUAUUUUGUCUUUUCGAUCAAACCAGGAGUGUUACUGAAAAUAUGCAGUAAGAGCAGUAUCACAGCGCCCAUCUUGGGUGCCGAGGCGGCGACUAUGCGGGAAAAAGGAUUUUAUGUUUUUGGACUUUUUUUGGGUCCAAUUCAAUCCUAGUUCGUCCAAGAACUUCAAAAUACUAUAAAUACAAUUCAAAAGACCUAUUUUCUUGAUGAAUUGAAAGAGGCAAGAUUGAAAAAUUUAACCACACAAUUUGAAGGAGGCAAAAAUUGAAGACACCAAAAGAAUGCAAGAACAACAUCAAGGAAGAAGAUUAAAAAUCUACACAAAAAGAUUUGUUUUUUCUAUCCUUUUCCUUAUGUUGUCUAUUAUGAAUUAUAUGAAUUUCCUGUUCCAUAUCAUGAACUAAAUAAUUUAUCUAGGGUUUGAUGUUGCCGAAC